rnacentral:rRNA from 1 species
GAUUGACCUCGGAUCAGGUAGGGAUACCCGCUGAACUUAAGCAUAUCAAUAAGCGGAGGAAAAAGAAACCAACAGGGAUUGCCUCAGUAACGGCGAGGAGG